rnacentral:tRNA from 5 species
GGGGGCAUAGCUCAGCUGGUUAGAGCACCUGCCUUACAAGCAGGGGGUCACAGGUUCGAGUCCUGUUGUCCCCACCA